GACGAACGCUGGCGGCGUGCCUAAUACAUGCAAGUUGAGCGCUGAAGGUUGGUACUUGUACCAACUGGAUGAGCAGCGAACGGGUGAGUAACGCGUGGGGAAUCUGCCUUUGAGCGGGGGACAACAUUUGGAAACGAAUGCUAAUACCGCAUAAAAACUUUAAACACAAGUUUUAAGUUUGAAAGAUGCAAUUGCAUCACUCAAAGAUGAUCCCGCGUUGUAUUAGCUAGUUGGUGAGGUAAAGGCUCACCAAGGCGAUGAUACAUAGCCGACCUGAGAGGGUGAUCGGCCACAUUGGGACUGAGACACGGCCCAAACUCCUACGGGAGGCAGCAGUAGGGAAUCUUCGGCAAUGGACGAAAGUCUGACCGAGCAACGCCGCGGGAGUGAAGAAGGGUUUCGGAUCGUAAAACUCGGUUGGUAGAGAAGAACGUUGGUGAGAGUGGAAAGCUCAUCAAGUGACGGUAACUACCCAGAAAGGGACGGCUAACUACGUG
rnacentral:rRNA from 1 species